rnacentral:rRNA from 1 species
CCGGGUUAAGUCCCAUAACGAGCGCAACCCUACCUUUAGUUGCCAUCAGGUAAUGCUGGGGACUCUAAAGGAACUGCCUACGCAAGUAGUGAGGAAGCGGGGAUGACGUCAAAUCAGCACGGCCCUUACGUCCAGGGCUACACACGUGCUACAAUGGCCGAUACAGAGGGCAGCUACCUGGUGACAGGAUGCAAAUCUCCAAAGUCGGUCUCAGUUCGGAUCGGAGUCUGCAACCCGACUCCGUGAAGUUGGAUUCGCUAGUAAUCGCGCAUCAGCCAUGGCGCGGUGAAUACGUUCCCGGGCCUU